AUUGAACGCUGGCGGCAGGCCUAACACAUGCAAGUCGAGCGGUUGAAGGGAGCUUGCUCCCUGAUUCAGCGGCGGACGGGUGAGUAAUGCCUAGGAAUCUGCCUAUUAGUGGGGGACAACGUUUCGAAAGGAACGCUAAUACCGCAUACGUCCUACGGGAGAAAGCAGGGGACCUUCGGGCCUUGCGCUAAUAGAUGAGCCUAGGUCGGAUUAGCUUGUUGGUGAGGUAAUGGCUCACCAAGGCGACGAUCCGUAACUGGUCUGAGAGGAUGAUCAGUCACACUGGAACUGAGACACGGUCCAGACUCCUACGGGAGGCAGCAGUAGGGAAUAUUGGACAAUGGGCGAAAGCCUGAUCCAGCCAUGCCGCGUGUGUGAAGAAGGCCUUCGGAUUGUAAAGCACUUUAAGUUGGGAGGAAGGGUUGUAGAUUAAUACUCUGCAAUUUUGACGUUACCGACAGAAUAAGCACCGGCUAACUCUGUGCCAGCAGCCGCCGCCGUAA
rnacentral:rRNA from 1 species